GAAGACAUUCCUGCUCCUUUAUCGUCACCAUUGCGGGAGAUUGAUUUAGGAGGUAAUCAAUUGACAGGCCCAAUACCAAAAUCACUUUUUCAGCUCACGAAUCUUGAGCGUCUCAGUCUUGAAUCGAAUAAAUUGACAGGCACAAUAGAACUUGGCUCUAUAUGGAGGUUGAAAAAUCUCACUUAUCUUAACCUGGGUAACAAUUUGAUAUCACUCGUAGAAAAAGAAGGUGAUAUGAUAUUCUCUUAUUCCCUUAAAAUCCAAGAGUUAUACCUUCCAUCUUGCAACCUUACAAAAUUUCCGGAAUCAUUAAAAUAUCUUGACACUAUUCAAGUUCUCGACCUUUCUAAUAACCAAAUCGAAGGGGCCAUACCUAGUUGGGUGUGGGAGAAUCCCCUUGUUGAGUUGGAGCUCUCACGCAACAUGUUUACUACUUUAGAGAAGUCUCCUGCUGUUCAGAUGACACAUUUAGUUUUUCUUAAUCUCAGUGUUAAUAGAAUUCAAGGAAGCAUACCAAUACCAUCAACUCCAUCCGACCUGGUUCUGUUGGAUUACUCAAAUAAUGAUUUCUCUACCAUUGAACCUAACUUUGGCAGGUAUCUUAGAAAUGCCAUCUACAUCAAUUUGUCAAAAAAUAAAUUAAGUGGCCAUGUACCACUUUCAUUUUGUAGUUUAAGCCAACUUGAGCUCAUGGACUUAUCUUACAAUAACUUUAGUGGACCAAUUCCAUCAUGUCUUAUGGAAAGAGUUGACCUGAGCAUAUUGAAGUUAAGAGGAAACAAAUUACAUGGCGUGCUACCUGAAAAUAUUAGAGAAGGAUGUAAGCUUCAGACAAUUGAUUUCAAUGAAAAUCAAAUUGAAGGUGCGCUACCUAGAUCACUAGCAAAUUGCCAAGACUUAGAGGUUCUUGAUGUUGGCAGUAAUCAUAUUGUAGAUUCAUUUCCAUCAUGGAUGGGUACUCUUCCAAAGCUUCGAAUUCUUGUGUUGAGAUCUAACCAACUGUAUGGCACUAUAAGGGAUCUUCGCAGUGGCUACCAACACUUCACAAGUUUGCAAAUAGUUGAUUUGGCCUCCAACCAUUUCUCUGGUGUCUUACAUUCUGAAUGGUUUGAGAAUUUUAUUUCAAUGAUGAAUAACAACAAUGAUGAGGGGCAGAUAUUAGAGCACGAAACAAAUGCAUCACGGGCACCAUUGUAUCAAGAUACUGUCACUAUCACAUUCAAAGAUGCUGAUUUAAGCAUCACCAAAAUCCUUACUACUUUCAAAGUAAUUGAUUUGUCAAAUAACUCAUUUGAGGGUUCCAUUCCAAGUUCAAUUGGAAGGCUUGCUUCACUUCACGGACUUAACAUGUCGCACAAUAACUUCACGGGAGAAAUUCCAUCACAACUUGGGAGGUUAACAAGGUUGGAAUCAAUAGAUCUCUCUUGCAACAAUCUCUCGGGAGAAAUUCCACAGGAGUUUACCUCCCUAACUUCUCUUUCCUGGUUGAACCUUUCGUAUAACAACUUGACGGGAAGAAUACCGCAGGGAAACCAAUUCUUGUCAUUUCCCAGCAGUUCGUUUGAAGGCAAUGCUGGUCUAUGUGGAAUUCAGCUUUCCAAGGAAUGUGACACUCGUCCAGAUUCAACCACCCCAAGCACAUUGGCUCCACAACGCAAUACUUUGUGGCAGGAUAGACUUGAUGCCAUCAUUUUGUUCCUCUGUGCUGGCUUGGGCUUUGGCGUGGGUUUUGCAUUGGCAAUCAUAUUCGGUCCCUUUUACCACAUAGAAGAAUGGCUUUGCAAGCAUUUGUAAUAGUAAUAUAAGUUUUCAACAAGAAUAAUUAUGUAUGUUUGUCUUGUUCUCGUUAUUAGAUGAGACAUUUUAAAUCCACUCAGUUGUAAUUACGUUGUAACUAGUCCAUCAACCCGUACUUCCACAUGAGCUAGUAUUUUCAAAAGCUGUUGUAUUUGAAAAUUAUUUAGAAAUUAAACACCUUGCUAAUAAUCAAAAUUAUUUACUUAUUACUCUCUCAUUUUUCAACACUUCAACGUAGUACUCAAAUAGAUGUGUACUUAUUUUUAUCCAGUUGUGAUUGAUUUUUAAUUAGUAAUUACUCUAUACACUUUUUCAUCCACAUUCACACUUUUUUAUUUUAUAUCACACCUCCAUAAAUUGUGUUUAGCAUCAAAAUUAAUAUUUUUCAUCACUUCCUCACAUACAUGUAUAAAUGGUCUACAUGGUGUCAUUCAUCAUGUCUAUAUACCUUAAUUUAAUAUUUCUAUAUUAACAAUGACAUAAACUGGUAAUUUAAAAUCAUAUAUUAGUUUAUUUUUGGAUAUUUCUGUAUGAUGCACAUGCAUGAAGAUAAUUAAAUUAAGAAUUAUCUGUUUACUUUAGAUUAUUUUUAAAAACGACGUACAUGGGUAACUUAGAUACAAAUUUAGAAUGACAUUUUAAGUUAUGCUUUAUAACGAUAGUCAUGAUUAAAUUGGAUGAAGAUUAUGGGUUACUUUACAUUAUCUUUUAUAAUGGCAGGUAAAUUAGAUAUAGGUUUAGGGUUUAUAAUGAUAGUGGUGGGUAAGUUUUUAGAAAAUAUAAUAGACCAAUGACUAUGAUUAAUAUAGUUUGCAUGAUUGAUAUUUGAUAUUUAUGAUUAUUGUGAGAAUUUCUAGGAUUUGUGUUUUUUAGCGUAUCUCUUGAGAACUAAUGCAGAGUCUCCAAUGAAAAAAAAAUAAGGCCACAUCGCUAAAAAAAUUACCUUGAGCUAUUUCUCAUUUAUUAAAUAUUGAAACACAAUAGUUAUAUAGAUAUAUAAUUAUGAUCGAUAGAUUUUAAUUGGUAAUUUCUCUUCAACAUUUUCAUCCACAUUUGUAUUGAAGAUAUGCGCUUGAAUUUGUUUAAUGGAUCUUAAGUUUGAGCUAUCAUUUUAACAUAGAAAUUUGUAUUUCCAUCACUUUCUCUAUAUCUUUAUGAAUGGUGACACACAUCAUGCCUAUAUACCUUAAUUAUUAUAUCGUAUACCUACAGCGUAAGAAAUAGACGAUUUAAUAUCGUAUUUUGAUGUAUAUUUUUAUUUAAGGUGAUUUGGAUUCAAAUGUAGUUUACCUCAUGUUAUUUCUAAAUAGCAUAUGUGGGUAAUAAAGAUGCAAAUUUAAGGGGUCAUGUUAACUUAUUUUUUAAGUAUUAGUGGUGGGAUAUUUAGUUGCAAAUUUAGGGGGUUAUUUUAAAUGUUAUUUAUAAUGGUAUAAGUGGGUAACUUUGAUAAAGAUUAGGUGGUUACUUUAGUUUAGUUUAUAUAAUGGUAGAGGUGGGUAAUUUAGAUAUAGACUAGCAAAAUAUCGUGCGUUGCUACGGUAAAAGAUCAAUUCUAAUGAUAUUUUUUAUUUCCAUCACUAAAUUUUUAUUCCACUUAUUGGACGUCUACACAUUUAAUAGAAAACUAAAAGAAUUUUGACUUAAUUAUUUCCUUCAACUCAAAUACCCAUUACAUUAAAAUAUUUUUUAUUCAAGCAAGAGAGUUAAAUCAGCCUCAUAUGGCCACCGAUGGGGCUCUUUAGUCCUUCUAGCCAUGUAAUAUCUUUUCACAUGUAUUUCAUCAAACAGGAGACGGCACGCUCAAACUUUUCCAUCAUGCACAUCCCGUUGUAGGUACGGUGGCUUAGGUUACACCUUAUUUGGAUGGGCUAUAACUACCUUUUAAAUGGUUAAUUAGGGGGUGUUUAGUAGCACUCAACUUCAAUUUUUUUAGCUCCACUCUACCAACUCCACUCCAGUUUAAUUUUUUUAGCUCCACUCCACUUCAACUCCACUCUACCAACUUGAGAAAAAUAAUAAAGUUGUCUACGUACUUGGCAGAAACAUGCCGUGCCCCCCCCCCCCCCCCCCCCCCCGCAAUAGCAAACCAACAGGCUGCCUUCUUCACCGGUCAAGCAAGCUGCUUGCUCCUCUCUCAAAUCCGAACAACAGUGCAACGCCCGAACAACAGUGCAACGACGGGCGGAGAGCCUGGCGCGAGCGGAGCAGCAGCCUAACCCUGGCCAUGACCUCCACCCCGACGAUCCAAGCAGCAGCAGCGUGGCCCCUGCUCCGGCCCCGACCCCAGCGAGGUGACCCAACCGUGGAGGGCAGGGGCGGCGCGGCCACGGUGGGACCUCCCCUGGUCGCCUCGGCGGGCAAGAGGAUCCUGAAGCCCUAAAACGUGCCGAAAGCAGUUACCUGAGACACUGUUACAGUAACCUUUGGGGGUGGAGCAUCACAGCAAUACAGCACAGAGUAAAAUCUCUGAGGAUUCCAUGCUUUUUGCGACAGCAACUCUCGUUAGUACGUACAGGCAAGUGAUGCAAAACAUGGCAUAACUACAUCUAAAGCAUUAUCUGCUCUUUACAUGCUGAUUUUAACUCUGUACAGCAAGGAAACGGGAGCAUUUUUUUCCCCUGAAAAUCUGUAUAGUUCUGAAGUGUUGUACAUCUUCGUAAAAGAUUAAUUGAAAAAUGAUAUAGCACAACAUACAACCACACUUGCUAAUUCAAACGACACGAAGCAACACCUCAUAUAGAUCCAAUUCCAACAAAUAUAAGCAGAACAUAUGUCCCAUUUUCCAUCAAACAAGUUUUGUACAAAAGUUCUAUAAGCGGAUUAGCACCACCUCAUAUCUUUUUUACAGUAUACAACCAUAAGAAAAAUAGAAAAAUAAGAGUCGCCAGAUUUCUGUGGCAUGCGAGUGCGAUAGGGUAGCUGAGGUCACCUAUACGAGGGGCGAUAGGGGGAUCUGCUACGGAUGGGGCUUGGACUUCGGUCCCUGCAGCCCCUCCGGCCGCGGUACCGCGCGGGGGGUGGCGACCGCGACAGGUCGCGCGGCAUCGCGCGCGACGAGAUCUAGAGCCUCCGCGGAGCCCGGAACCCCACGGAUCUGGCCGAGACCCGACGAUCGGAGAGGCACGGUGGUUGAAAGGAGGUCAGUGAAGGGGGGUUGAAGAUGCCGGUAGCUCAGCACAGUGGCACAACUGAGCAUUCCUUUCCUCAAUCUCCCGAUUCAUGUCAUCCCACUUCUGAUCUAGUUCCUCGAGCUUGGCCAGUAUCACAGCACACAUCUCCUCCGUCAUGUUCACUCGUGUUCCGAUGCGGUGGUAGUGGUGGUUUUUUGAUCGAAAUAGUUGUGAACCAAAUGUCACACCCUAGAUGCAACUCACAGAACAAAUUAUCCCCCAACGAUGAACUACGGAAUAUAUAUAUGAAGUAUACUAGAAUUUGGAUACACAUGGAUGAGGAACUCGCUAGUGUUCUCGAGCCGAAGCUUGCCACCGCAGAGCCAAUGAGUCCCAAAUCCAGUUCUUCUUUCCCUCACGACGACUUUUUAAUCCUCUUACAUGCUGCGCCAGCUAUGCUGCAGCGAUGCCCGUUCAUGGGCCUAUCUUAACUACCUUAGCCAUUCGGGCCCAACAAGGAUAAUGUUGGGCUUCCGUACCUGAUGGCCCACAACUUCGGCUUUACUGCACUUUAGAUAAAUAUCAUGUACGGUUCACUAGAGAAGCCUCCACCAGUGAUAGUUGCUAGUUAGUACAGGUCUUAUCUACAACCUUGCAUUAGCUAUCUCACUCUAGUUUGGCUAGCUGUCUGCUUACUCGAAGCUUGAGGCAUGUUUCUUUAAUAUAGUUUUCUUUUCUUCUUGGAUGUUUAUAGCACAUACGUGAUCUUUUGAAGUACUGCUAUAGAGAGGAAGACAAGUUCUUCUCAUUUAACAUCUUUUUUUUUUCAAUUUAUUUUUGUUAAACUUUUAGAUCAAUCGUUUGAAUUCUCCUCAAUAUUUGCUUGCUUCAUGUUCUCUUUGUUUUUGUGCAACAGUAUGAUCUUGGAAUAGGAAUGCUGCAAGACAAUUCAAAUAGAAGGUUAGUUUCAUCAUAUUAUAUGGUUAAAAUUACUUUAAAAUUAUAUGGUUAAAAUUACUUUGUAAUGGUUGACUGUCACUGUUGUUUGCAUUGGCAGAUCAUGGAUGGAAUUCCUGCAAGAGCCAAGCACAAACUGUUGUCAGCGCUUCUCUGUUGAUGUUUCGUUUCUCGUUACCACCUUUCUUGCAGACCGGUUAGGGUUAGGUUACACCAUCUGCUUCAGGUGAUUUCGGGAAUGUGGAAUGUUUCCUCUUCAUUUGAGAAGAAAGAGAGAGUGUUUUGUUCGAAUAUUACAGGUGCGUAUGUUUAUGCAUGGCUUUUCAGGGCUCAAAUCAAGGGGAAAAAAUAGACUAAUGGGCUGGUAAAUUUAUGUUCUGGUAAAAAUAGACUAAUGGCUUUAUUUAGUUCCAAGAAUCCUGGUGAACUCCGGAACUUAAAAUGAAAUCCUAAAAUUGUUUCUCUAACCUCCUAUCUCAAUAUGGGCUGUUCUUUUUUUUUUUCUUUCUGGUCAACUAUUUCCCCCAACUUACGGACCCAUCUCGGCCUGCAGGCCUGCCGAGGCCUCUUCUCUCCUUUCGUCGUUCGGUCCCUCUAAUUUCGCUCUUGUGCUUGCGCACCAGGCGCCAUCUCUCACCGCGCCAGGAGCUUUGCAGCGCCAGACGGCCCCGCUCCACACCACAAUAUUCUUCCUUGGAACCUGCGGGCUCCGCUGAGCCGCUGCGUGAUCUUCUAUUCGCGACUCUGUGUACCUCGCCGUGUUACAAUUGCCUUCACUUUACUUCAUCAUUGCUCUCUAACCUAGGUACUCGGUUAUGAACAGCGCGCCGGCUAAGCGAGUACCCGGUGAAGGCGAGCGCAACGAGCCCUAGCACAUGGCAUCCAUCGAAAACUACAUAAUUUUCAGAGUAUGGAAUUUUCAGUCCGCGGUGUGGCCAACAUUAUCUUUAUAUGAUUAUAUUUGCAAACAGAGUUUUUAAGUAACAACGCAAAUAAAACACUCUCGUGUCAUUGCUCUAAAGGGGGAGAAAGGAAUAACAGAAACAACACCGUGCCAUUCCCCAGAAACAAAGAACAACGGUAAAAGUGGUUCUAGAUGAAGCUUAAAUUGACCAUCGAUGGCGAUUGUAUCGACACGGCAAACAUCCAGACAGCUAGCAUUGACUGACUUGGCCUAUUGAGUACUCCGCGGAACUCGGUACGUCUUAUGACAAGUCUCGUUUGACUCGAAUUAUUGACCUUCACUGUCCUUCGUCAUUGCUCUCUAACCUAGGUACUCGGUUAUGAACAACGUGCCGGCUAAGUGAGUACUCGGUGAAGGCGAGCCCAACUUGCCCCAGCACAUCGCAUCCAUCGAAAAUACAGAAUUUCCAAAGUAUGGAAUUUUCAGUGUGCGUUGUGGCCAACACUAUCUUUAUAUGUUUUAUUUGCAAACCGAGUUUUUAAGUAACAACGCAAAUAAAACACUCUCGUAUCAUUGCUCUAAAGGGGGAGUAAGGAAUAACAGAAAUAACGUCGUGCCAUUCCCCGGAAACAAAGAACAACCGUAAAAAUUGGUUCUAGAUGAAGCUAAAUUGAUCAUCGAUGGCGAUUGUAUCGACACGGCAAACAUCCAGACAGCUAGCAUUGACUGACUUGGCUGAUACAUCCACUUCACUGUUGAGUACUCCAGGGAACUCGACAGGUCUUAUGACAAGUCUCGGUUGACUCGAAUUGUUGACCUUAGGACAGUGACCUUGAUUUCCUCAUCCCCUUUCCUAUUGUCUUGCGGUCCUGAUGCCCAUUACCCAGUGCCUACCAGUGUGUGCUUCUCCCUCCGAUUGUACAUACGUGCGGGUCCCACAUGUCAGCCCCUUCCAUCCUCUUUACUUUAUAAUCUCCAAAGCAUGGGCCGCCCUUCUUUGUUACCUGUAUGGCUGUAUCACCUCCCCUGCCGAUGAGUGCCCAUGCAUGCUGAUACUUUGGUACCAUCUGCUCCAACCAAGCACCACCUCUCAUGCAAGUCAACAUAGAUGGUAUUUGGUGUCAAUUCACUGGUUAUAUUUUUAAAUGAAUUUAAUAUAAAUUUUGAUUAUCUAUUGCUUCUAAAUUCCUGUCGAAAUUAAUUUGAUAAUUUUUUAACCUAUAAUAUCCUAUACUUCAUUUUAUGAGGAAACUAUCAGAAAAUGAAUUGUAAUUUUUAUGACUCAUAUCUAUUUCCUCUCUUUAUUAGAUAUUUUGCUUUCCAAUUGUAUGUAAUCAAACUUUUAUUUAUUUUUAUCAUUCGGAGUUUUAGUUUUUUAUUACUUCCAUGUCAAGAUGAUAUUCUGGACAAGAUUCCAAUCAACCUUUUGAAAAUCUAACCACUAUUGACAGCUUUUAGAAUAUUCAGUUUGAAAAUUUAGAAUACUCAUUGAAAGACAUAAUAUAAUAUUUUGUAUGUUUAUAUAAUAUCUUCUUACUGAAAAUAGUGGCCACACAGCUAUGUUAUCCAAAACACCACCUUUUCUUUAAGAACGGGGGAACGAUUGUUUUUUUUCUAUUUUAUUAAUAUGAUAUUUUAUAGUCAAUCCGGAGACUUGUUUUCUCUUAGCUUUGCCUUAUUAAAAUAACAAUUGAAGAUUCCGUAAUGUGUGGUUCAGAUAUUUACUUCCAUGCGAGUUUAUAUUUUGGCUCCAGUUCGCUGGUCUUCCUCUCGAGUCAGCGACCGGAACGAGAGAACAGAAUAUCUACACACGAUUGAUUGGAAUUUGGAAACUGCAAACCAGUAGCGCAAUGGCUCCUGCCAUGGAUCGCCUCCACAACCUUCUGGUCCUGCUCUUGUUCAUAGGUUGCCUCUUCAUAGAUGCUGCCGCCAAGCUUAACACCACAGCGCCUUGCCUCCCGGAUCAAGCUUCUUCCCUCCUCCGGCUAAAAGCUUCCUUCAUCGGUGACAACCUACCAUCAUGGCAAGCUGCAACAGAUUGUUGCCACUGGGAGGGCGUCACCUGCGACAUGGCCUUUGGAAGAGUCAUUUCUCUUGACCUCAGUGAGUUCCACCACCUAAUGAGCAGUCGUCUUGAUCCUGCGCUCUUCAACCUCACCUCUCUCAGGAACCUCAGCCUUGCAUCUGUUGACUUCAGAGGAGUCUCGCUCCCGGCUUUUGGGUUUGAGCGGCUCACGGAUAUCAUUUACCUCAACCUCUCUGAUACCGGUUUUAUGGGUAAGAUCCCAAUUGGAAUUGCGUGCCUCAAGAACCUUGUGACCAUUGACUUGUCUUAUAAUUACGAAUUGUAUUUUGAACGGCCAAGUUUCCAAACCAUCAUGGCAAAUAUGAGCAAUCUGAGGGAGCUUUAUCUUGAUGAAGUGGGUUUACAGAACAUCGGAUCGGAUUGGUCCACUGUUUUAGCAGACUCCGUUCCCCAGCUACAGAUUCUUAGCUUGCCCUGGUGUGGUUUAUCAGGUUCUAUCCACCCUUCAUUCUCAAGGCUUCGCUCACUUACGGUGAUCAACCUCAGAUACAAUGAUGGACUCACCGGCAAAGUCCCGGAGUACUUUUCUGAACUAUCUUCCUUGACCAUUUUAGACAUAUCAGGAAGUCAAUUUGAAGGGCAAUUUCCAACAAAAAUAUUCCAGCUAAAAAGUUUGAGGACGCUUGAUUUGUCCUGGAACCCCAUGCUUUCUGUGAGAUUAACAUAUUUCCCAGCUGGAAACAAUUUGGAAGUACUAAAUCUAGAAGGGACCAAUUUGUCUUAUGACACGCCAUUGGGGCAAUCUCGAGUCUUUAAAGACAUUGGGGCUUAGCACGAUGGGAAUUGAUAAUGAACUCUUCUCUUUGAUAUCUGAGCUUCCAGCAUUGGAUUACCUGCGACUCACUGGAUCAGAUUUGGAGAACCCGGUAUUAUCUUGGGUCAGCAAUCUUACCCAAUUGACAAACCUGGUGCUUGAAGGUUAUGACUUCUCAAACUCGGUUCCCACUUGGAUCGGCAAAUUGACAAGGCUGGAAAUUUUGACAAUAUGGGAUUGCAGUUUCUCCGUGCCAAUACUGUACCAGAUUAGAAAUCUUACUAAAUUGGCAGCGCUGGAGUUCACUGGUUGCGACUUAUCUGAGCAAACAAUGCCAUCAUGGAUAGGCAAUCUUACAAAGUUGACUUCUUUGACCAUUGAAGAUUGCAGUUUAUCUGGGCCAAUACCCUCUACAAUUGGAAACCUGAUCCAACUUGAAGAGUUGGUGUUCUGGGAUACUAACAUCAGCGGUGAGACUAUGUCCCUGUUACUUUCUUUCUAGAUACCUCCUUUUAUUUUGCAACUGUAGACAGAUCAUACACCUACUAUAUGACACGCCAUGCAUACACCGUUAAAAAAAUAAUAAUGAAUUUAAGUGAAGAAGAAAAUUUAACACUACCAAAUCGACAGAGUGAUCUUCAGAAAACAAGAAAAAGGCUUUGGCUAGUAAUUUUCGGCAAUGUUGAGAAAAGAAAAACACUGAUAUUUUCACUUUGAGUCUAUGACCAAUUUCCAUAGUUUAGUAGUUUGGAAGGUUAGAUGCCUUUAACACUAGUACACACGAGUCACGACUCAGGUCCUCUUUUCCUUCUUUUUUCUGUAAAUAUAGUAUUGGUCCAUUUACAAAUAUACCAAGGAAUAUUAAUUUUUUUGGACAGGCCUUUUUUUAUUAUUUUGACCAGAUUUACAUGUAAAUGUUCUCUAACGAUAAAUCAACUUUAGAAUAUAUCAUUUGUAGAUCGAAACACUGGAUCUGUUAAAAUAUAUAUUGAAUAUGUUGUGUUAAAAUUGUUCGGCUUUCCCUGGUCUAAGGCCUCUUUGAAACAAAGGAACAACAAAAGGAAGGACUAGGUUUUUUGAGCAUGGUCUCUCUCCCUCUCUCUCUCUCAAACCUGAGCGUGGUCUGGAUUUUCUACUUGUUAUGAUUUGUGAAGGAAGAGGACCCUUUCUUGUGGAAUUGGAAUUGGAGGGUGCAUUCCAAAAUUCCAAAAUUCAAACGGUUCUUUCCUUUCCUCCAGAACGCAGUUACUUUUGUGUCCUUACCCCCUCAGUGUCGUGGCUUCUUUAGGCCAGUCUCAAUGCACAAUUUCAUUGCAAUGUUACAAAAAUUGCAAAUUUGGUAACUGUGCAGGUAGGGUUUCAUGAGGAUGAAACUCCUCUCUCAUUUCAUGAAACUCCAUCCUCUCUCUCCUCAUAAAGACCUUGACAAAUCAGCAAAAUUGCUGAUGUGGUAUAGAAAUUAAUGCUGACGAAACUUUUUAUAACACUUCCACUAAGACUGGCCUUAGAUUGCAGCAACAUUCGGAUAUGUCUAGCUCCAAUGUAAUGAGAUGCUAAUUUGUUUCAAUUUCAUACUAGCGCUUUUAGUGUGAAGAAGCAUUAAUAAAGUCUACAACAUUCUAACUGUUGGUAUUCUACCCUAACAUGCAGGAAAAAUUCCGAAGUCUUUGUUCGCUCUUCCAGUCCUGCAGCAGCUUCAUCUAGUUAGGAAUCAGCUUGUUGGCCCACUAGAAGACAUUCCUGCUCUUUUAUCGUCACCAAUGCGGGAGAUCGAUUUAGGAGGUAAUCAAUUGACAGGCCCAAUACCAAAAUCACUUUUUCAGCUCACGAAUCUUGAGCGUCUUCUUCUAGCUGAGAAUCAGCUUGUUGGUUCACUAGAAGACAUUCCUGCUCCUUUAUCAUCACCAUUGCGGGAGAUCGAUUUACAAGGUAAUCAAUUGACAGGUCCAAUACCAAAAUCACUUUUUCAGCUCACGAAUCUUGAGUAUCUCAAUCUUGGCUCGAAUAAAUUGACAGGCACAAUAGAACUUGGCUCUAUACGGAGGUUGAAAAAUCUCAUUAUUCUCGACCUGGGUAACAAUAUGAUAUCACUCGUAGAAAAAGAAGGUGAUACGAUAUUCUCUUAUUCCCUUAAAAUCCAGACCUUAUACCUUGCAUCUUGCAACCUUACAAAAUUUCCGGAACCAUUAAAAUAUCUUGACACUAUUCAAUAUCUCGACCUUUCCAAUAACCAAAUCGAAGGGGCCAUACCAAGUUGGGUGUGGGAGAAACCACUGCUUCAGUUGAACCUCUCACACAACAUGUUUACUACUUUAGAGAAGUCUCCUACUGUUCAGAUGACACAUUUAAAUUCUCUUGAUCUCAGUUCUAAUAGAAUUCAAGGAAGCAUACCAAUACCAUCAACUCCAUCCGACCUGAUUCUGUUGGAUUACUCAAAUAAUAACUUCUCUACCAUUGAACCGAACUUUGGCAGGUAUCUUACAAAUGCCCACUACAUCAAUUUGUCAAAAAAUAAAUUAAGUGGCCAUGUACCACUUUCAUUUUGUAGUUUAAGCCAACUUGAGCACAUGGACUUAUCUUACAAUAACUUUAGUGGACCAAUUCCAUCAUGUCUUAUGGAAAGAGUUGACCCGAGCAUACUGAAGUUAAGAGGAAACAAAUUACAUGGCGUGCUACCUGAAAAUAUUAGAGAAGGAUGUAAGCUUCAGACAAUUGAUUUCAAUGAAAAUCAAAUUGAAGGUGCGCUACCUAGAUCACUAGCAAAAUGCCAAGACUUAGAGGUUCUUGAUGUUGGCAGUAAUCAUAUUGUAGAUUCAUUUCCAUCAUGGAUGGGUACUCUUCCAAAUCUUCGAAUUCUUGUGUUGAGAUCUAACAAACUCUAUGGCACUAUAAGGGAUCUUCGCAGGGGCUACCAACACUUCACAAGUUUGCAAAUAGUUGAUUUGGCCUCCAACCAUUUCUCUGGUGACUUACAUUCCGAAUGGUUUGAGAAUUUUAUUUCAAUGAUGAAUAACAGCAAUGAUGAGGGGCAGAUAUUAGAGCACCAUCCAACUGGACCAAUGACACGAUUGUAUCAAGAUACUGUCACUAUCACCUUCAAAGAUGCUGCUUUAAGCAUCACCAAAAUCCUUCGUGCUUUCAAAGUAAUUGAUUUGUCAAAUAACUCAUUUGAGGGUUCCAUUCCAAGUUCAAUUGGAAGACUUGCUUCACUUCACGGACUUAACAUGUCGCACAAUAACUUCACGGGAGAAAUUCCAUCACAACUUGGGAAGUUAACAAGGUUGGAAUCAAUGGAUCUCUCUUGCAACCAUCUCUCGGGAGAAAUUCCACAGGAGUUUACCUCUCUAACUUCUCUUUCCGUGUUGAACCUUUCGUACAACAACUUGACAGGAAGAAUACCGCAGGGAAACCAAAUCUUGUCAUUUCCCAGCAGUUCGUUUGAAGGCAAUGCUGGCCUAUGUGGAAUUCAGCUUUCCAAGGAAUGUGACCCUCGUCCAGAUUCAACCACCCCAAGCACAUUGGCUCCAGAACACAAUGCUUUGUGGCAGGAUAGACUUGAUGCCAUCAUGUUGUUCCUCUGUGCUGGCUUGGGCUUUGGCGUGGGUUUUGCAUUGGCAAUCAUAUGCGGUCCCUUUUACCACAUAGAAGAAUGGCUUUGCAAGCAUUUGUAUUAGUAAUAUAAGUUUUCAACAAGAAUAAUUAUGUAUGUUUGUGCUGUACUCGUUAUUAGAUGAGACAUCUUAAAUCCACUCAGUUGUAAUUACGUUGUAACUAGUCCAUCAACCCGUACUUCCGCAUGGGCAAAUAUUUUUAAAAGCUGUUGUAUUUGAAAAUUAUUUAGAAAUUAAACUCCUAGCUAAUAAUCAAAAUUGUUUACUUAUUACUCUCACAUUUUUUCAAUACUUCAACAUAGUACUCAUAUAGAUGUGUACUCAUCUUUGUCUAGUUGUGAUUGAUUUUUAAUUAGUAAUUACUCUAUACACUUUUUCAUCCACAUUCACACCUUUCCAUUUUUUAUUGCACCUCCGUACAUUGUGUUUAGCAUCAAAAUUAAUAUUUUUCAUCACUUUAUCACAUACAUGUAUAAAUGGUCUACAUGGUAACACUCAUCAUGUCUAUAUACCUUAACUUAGUAUUUCUAUAUUAACAAUGACAUAAACUAGUAAUUUAGAAUCAUAUAUUAGUUUGUUUUUAGACAUUUCUAUAUGAUGCAUAUGCAUGAAGAUAAUUAGAUUAAGAAUUAGGUGUUUACUUUAGAUUAUUUUUAAAAAUGACAUACAUGAGUAACUUAGAUACAAAUUUAGAAUGGCAUUUUAAGUUAUGCUUUAUAAUUGUAGGCAUGGGUAAAUUGGAUGAAGAUUAUGGGGUUACUUUACAUUAUUUUUUUAUAAUGGUAGGGCUUGGUAAUUUAGAUAUAGGUUUGGGGUUUACAAUGACAGUGGUGGGUAACUUUUUAGAAAAUAUAAUAGACCAAUGACUAUGAUUAAUAUAGUUUGCAUGAUUGAUAUUUGAUAUUUAUGAUUUUUGUGAGAAGUAAUUGUGUUUUUUUAGCAUAUCUCUUAAGAACCAAUGCAGAGUCUCCAAUGGAAAAAAAUGAGGCCACAUUGCUAUAAAACUAUUACCUUGAGCUCCUUCUCAUUUGUUAAAUAUUCAAAAACAUACUUAUAUAGAUAUAUAAUUAUUAUCUUCACCCGAUUGCGAUAGAUUUUAGUUUGUAAUUUCUCUUUAACAUUUUCAUCCAUAUUUAUAAUCUUUAAUUUUUCACUUUGCAUUGCAAAUAUGCGCUUGAAUUUGUUUAAUGGAACCUAAGUUUGAGCUAACAUUUUAACAUAAAAAUUUAUAUUCCCAUCACUUUAAUUCUCUAUAUCUUUAUAAAUGGUGAAAGACAUCUUGCCUAUAUACCUUAAUUAUUAUAUGAUAUACCUAUAGUGUAAGAAAUAGAUGAUUUAGAAUCAUAUAUUGGUGUAUAUUUUGAAUUAAGGUUAUUUGGAUUCAAAUGUAGGGUUACCUCAUGUUAUUUUUAAUAAUAGCAUAUAUGGGUAAUAUAGAUGCAAAUUUAAAGGGUCAUGUUAAGUUAUUUUUUAAGUAUUAGUGGUGGGCAAUUAGUUGGUAAUUUAGGAGGUUAUUUUAAAUAUUAUUUAUAAUGGUACAUGUGGGUAAUUUUGAUAAAUAUUAGGGGUUAGUUUAGUUUAGUUUAUAUAAUAGCAUAUGGGUAAUUUAGAUGUAGAUUUAGGGGUUACUUUAGGCUAUUUUCAUAAUGGCAUAGGUGGAUAAUUUUUUUUAGAAAAACAUAAUAGAUCUAAUGGCUAUGAUGAGUUGAGUCUACAGAUUGAUGGCCAGAUGUUUUGCUUUUUUAUGAGAAUUUCUACGAUAAGAAAUGCAGCGGUGGUCCUCUCUAUAAAAUUUGCAUGGGUCUUAAAGCAGACAAACUUAUUAAUUAAAUAUUUUUUAGUUAUCUUUAUUCUGGGUCUCUUCUAGGCCAGCCCAGUCCAUGUCCAGAUGAGUCUGUUUCCUCCCGAUCCGUUUUAGUCCCUCUGAACGGCGGCUCAUGUUCCUCGCGAAAAGAACGGAGCAACGAUGGCUUGCGGCGGCGCUCCAUGGCAGUGGCACAUCAUAAAGGCGGUGGAAGCAUCCAACAUGUGGUUGGACUGAAACAUUUUCAUGAUUAUUCCUUCUGUGAAGUUAGUCACCUUGCAAUGUGCAAGCUAGAAACAAUAUCAUUGCAAGCAUAAUAAGGUACAACAUCUGCAAUGUUUCUCAUGAAUGUGUGGAAUGGCCUCCGGACACGACGUCCGCAAAACGGUCAGGAAUAAUGAACCAAGUAGCAAUUAAUGUGCAGGCGCCGUAUGUAGAGCAGGUUGGGAUUUGGGAAGUCCGGUGUCACUGCAGUCCACCUCGUCCGGUAGCACGAUUACACCUGCCUGACGAGGAGAUGGUACCGCUACAUGUGCUAAGGACGUCGAGUUGUCGAGGUCCCAGCUAGACGCGCGACUCUCUCUUGGUGCAGCCGUUUCCCUCUCCGGGCAGUGGCGAUCUCACUCACCGGCGCAGCUCCGUGCAGCCGCUACAUGUGCACCUCCAUUAUUGAUUAUGUCGGCCACUGAUAUUCUCUUUAUCCAAUCCAAUCAAAUCCAAUCGUAUUGGCUGGGUAGGAGUGGGCGAGGCGAGGCAAGGCCCAAGAUUAUCCCACUGCUAAAAAAAUUAAGAAAUAAACUAAUCUUGUUGCUUUGAAACGCGUGCUAAUUUUUAGAAAGGGACCACCAGAGCAUUUCUCUUCUAUGAUUUCUCUCUUUUUCUAAGUGUCCACUUAGGAUUCUAGGUAGUUUCACCUGAAGGCUUCAGAAGGAGUCUCUAAUUAGUAAUAUUUACUGAAUUUCAUAAGGCCCCGUUUGGAUCAUUGGAAUUGAAUUCCAUCAUAAUAAUCAUAAUUUAGACACAAAUUAAUUAAGCUAAUAUAAUUGUAUGUGAAAUAUAGUUGUAUAUUAUAGUUGGUGAUAUGGGAGAGAUACUUAUGUGCUGCACUUCUACCAUAGAGAAGCGAGUCUAAGAGCGUGCUAUAAGAAUUGAAUUCCAUUCUAAUAACCAUAAUCUAUAGAAUCAAUUUCCAUCUCCCACCCCAUGAAUUUAAGAUAAGCUUAUAUAUAAACUUUGGAAAGUUGUGGAAUGCCACAUUCCAACAUAAAUUAGCCUACUCCAUUAAAUAGAUUCCAAUUCCUUCAUACCAAACGGGGCCUAAGUGAUUUUCAAAGAGAGUUUUUUUUUGACAGCACUCCAAGUCUCCAACUUGAUAUCAACUGAAACUGAAAGCCGGCCAAGGUGCUGGUUGUAUCUGAGUACCACUAUCCAGAAUCUCCACUUGUAUUGGCGGUGGCCAUGGAUGCUUCAGAAGCUCACCAUCUCUACUUGGCUGAAUGGCGUCCACAAUAUUGGCCUUAGAUCAUCUGCACUGUGCAAUGCAUGUUACCGGCAUUACCCUGAACACCUUGAGGGCAUUGUAGACACCAGUGCCAAUACACAGCAGAAACAUGUCAUCUGUUAGAGCCGGGCUCUCGCUGGUGAUUUGGAAGUCGCAGACGUUGUUGCUGUUGAUUGUGGUGAACAAAGUUAGGGUGGUGGCUAGAGCACUCGCGGUCGGUGGAACACAAGCAUUGUGGAUAUGACUGGGCAUUGAACAUCUGGUGGGCGUCACGGAUUAGCACUCCGUAGUGGUGAUAGAGAUGGCUAGGGUGGCAUCCUGGUCAGAGUAGAGGUGGAUGUAGAGGGAAGUGCCGAGGAUGCGGUCUUGGACACCAGAAUGCAGGUGUCAUGGUAAAGGGAAGUCUUUGGACACCUUGUGGGCGCCAUCUCUAGAACCUCGGUGGCCCUGACAGAACGAUGCGGAAAGCUGUUGGUUAUGCCGAGGUCAUGGCUGUAGGCACUUGAAAGCAGGUGGCCUGGUUAGGACCCGCCAUCGAACACCUGGUGGGCGCCACUGGUUGAAGCUCCGUGGCCGUGAUGAGAAUGACAACAGAGGCAUCCCGUGGUGGAAAGGAGGUCAGUGAAGGGGGGUUGAAGAUGCCGGUGGCUCAGCACGGUGGCACAACUGAGCAUUCCUUUCCUCGAUCUUCCGAUUCAUGUCAUCACACUUCUGAUCUAGUUCCUCGAGCUUGGCCAGUAUCACAGCACACAUCUCCUCCGUCAUGUUCACUCGUAUUCCGAUGCAGUGGUAGUGGUGGUUUUUGAUCGAAAUAGCUGUGAACCAAAUGUCACACCCUAGAUGCAACUCACAGAACAAAUUAUCUCCCAACAAUGAACUACGGAAUAUAUAUGGAGUAUACUAGAAUUUGGAUACACAUGGAUGAGGAACUCGCUAGUGUUCUCGAGUCGAAGCUUGCCGCCGCAGAGCCAAUGAGUCCCAAAUCCAGUUCUUCUUUCCCUCAUGACGACUAUUUUAUCCUCUUACAUGCUGCGCCAGCUAUGCUGCAGCGAUACCCGUUCAUGGGCCUAUCUUAACUACCUUAGCCAUCGGGCCCAACAAGAAUAACGUUGGGCUUCCGAACCUGAUGGCCCACAACUUCAGCUUUACUUCACUUAAGAUAGUUGCUAGUUAGUACUCCCUCCGUCCCAAAUUAUAGGUCGUUUUGACUUUAUUAGAUUCAUAGACUUUGUUAUGCACUUAGAUAUCUAGAUGCAUAAUAAUAUCUAUGUAUCUAGAAAAGUCAAAACGAUCUAUAAUUUGGAACGGAGGGAGUACAUGUCUUAUCUACAACCCUGCAUUAGCUAUCUCACUCUAGUUUGGCUAGCUGUCAGGACAGUCUGCUUACUCGAAGCUUGAGGCAUGUUUCUUUAAUAUAGUUUUCUUUUUCUUCUUGGAUAUUUAUAGCACAUAAUUGAUCCUGUGAAGUACUGCUAUAGAGAGGAAGACUAGUUCUUCUUAUUUAACAUCUCUUUGUGUUCUGCAUAUGCAUGAAAAGAAGGGCAUAGCUAGGUGAAAUGUUCUUUUGUUGGCUGUAUAAGACUUCAUUUUUUUAAUUUAUUUUUUUUAAACUUUUAGAUCAAUCGUUUGAAUUCUCUUCAAUAUUUUCUUGCUUCAUGUUCUCUUUGUUUUUGUGCAACAGUAUGAUAUUGGAAUAGGAAUGCUGCAAGACAAUCCAAAUAGAAGGUUAGUUUCAUCAUAUUUAUAUGGUUAAAAUUACUUCAAAAUUAUAUGGUUAAAGUUACUAUGUAAUGGUUGACUGUCACUGUUGUUUGCAUUGGCAGAUCAUGGAUGGAAUUCCUGCAAGAGCCAAGCACAAACUGUAUUCAGCGCUUCUCUGUUGAUGUUUCGUUUCUCGUUGCCGCCUUUCUUGCAGACCGGUUAGGGUUAGGUUACACCAUCUGCUUCAGGUGAUUUCGGGAAUGUGGAAUGUCUCCUCUUCAUUUGAGAAGAGAGAAAGAGUGUUUUGUUGGAAUAUUACUGGUGCGUAUGUUUAUGCAUGGCUUUUCAGGCUCAAAUCAAGGGGAAAAAAUAGACUAAUGGGCUGGUAAAUUUAUGUUCUGGUGGAUUUUCUCUAUGGCUUUAUUUAGUUCCAAGAAUCCUGGUGAACUCCGAAACUUAAAAUGAAAUCCUAAAAUUGUUUCUCUAACCUCCUAAAAUGGGCUGUUCUUUUUUUCUGGUCAACUAUUUCCCCCAACUUCCGGAACUUAAAAUGAAAUCCUAAAAUUUCUCGGCCUCUCUUGUUUCAGGUCAUCAGGCCCAACCGAGGCCUCUUCUCUCCUUUCGUCAUUCGGUCCCUCUAAUUUUGCUCUUCUGCUUGCGCACCAGGCGUCAUCGCUCACCGCGCCAGGAGCUUUUGCAGCGCCAGACGGCCCUGCUCUACACCACAGUAUUCUUCCUUGGAACCUGCGGGCUCCGGUGAGCCGCUUUGGGAUCUCCUAUUCGCGACUCUGGGUACCUCGCCGGGUUACAGUUGCCUUCAUUGUACUUCGUCAUUGCUCUCUAACUAGGUACUCGAUUAUGAACAGCGCGCCGGCUCAGUGAGUACUCGGUGAAGGCGAGCGCAACGAGCCCCAACACAUGUCAUCCGUCGAAAACUACAUAAUUUCCAGAGUAUGGAAUUUUCAGCGCGCGGUGUGACCAACACUAUCUUUAUAUGAUUAUAGCUGCAAACCAAGUUUUUAAGUAACAAAGCAAAUAAAACAGUCUCGUGUCAUUGCUCUAAAGGGGAGAAAGGAAGAACAGAAACAACGAUGUGCCAUUCCCCAGAAACAAAGAAACAACUGUAAAAAGUGGUUCUAGAUGAAGCUAAAUUGACCAUCGAUGGCGAUUGUGUCGACACGGCAAACAUCCAGACAGCUAGCAUUGACUGACUUGGCCUGUUGAGUACUCGAGGGAACUCGAUAGGUCUUAUGACAAGCCUCGAUUGACUCGAAUUAUUGACCUUCACUGUCCUUCGUCAUUGCUUUCUAACCUAGGUACUCGGUUAUGAACAGCGCGCCGGCUUGGGUACUCGGUGAAGGCGAGCGCAACGAGCCCCAGCACAUGGCAUCCAUGGAAAACUACAGAAUUUUCAGAGUAUGGAAUUUUCAGCGUGCGGUGUGGCCAACACUAUCUUUAUAUGAUUAUAUCUGCAAACCGAUUUUUUAAGUAACAAUGUCAAUAAAACACUCUCGUGUCAUUGCUCUAAAGGAGGAGAAAGGAAUAACAGAAACAACGCCGUGGCAUUCCCCAGAAGCAAAGAACAACGGGAAAACCACACCAUGAGAGAUGUCGUCUUGAACACUCUUGAUUGUGUUGACACGGCAAACAUCCAGACAGCUAGCAUUGACUGACUUGGCUGAUACAUCCACUUCACUGUUGAGUACUCCAGGGAACUCAAUAGGUCUUAUGACAAGUCUCGAUUGACUCGAGUUAUUCACUCAUACCUUGAUUUUUUCCUCCCCUUUCCUGUUGUCGUUCGGUCCAGAUGCCCAUUACCCAGUGCCUGUCAGUGUGUGCUUCUCCCUCCGAUUGCCCAUUACCUAACAAAUUGUAGUUUGCACCGUAAUUCCCUUAAAUCUGCUCCAACCAAGCACCACCUCUCAUGCAAGUCAACAUAUAUGGCAUUUGGUAUCAAUUCUGUAAAUACAAUUUCAAUCAUUCGCUGGUUAUAUUUUUAAAUGAAUUUAAUAUAAAUUUUGAUUAUCUAUUGCUUCUAAAUUCCUGUCGAAAUUAAUUUGAUAUUUUAUUAACCUAUAAUAUCCUAUACUUCAUUUUAUGAGGAAUCUAUCAGAAAAUGAAUUGUAAUUUUUAUGGCUCAUAUCUAUUUGCUCUCUUUAUUAGAUAUUUUUCUUUCCAGUUGUAUGUAAAUCAAACUUUUAUUUUAUUUUUAUCAUUCGGAGUUUUAGUUUUUUAUUACUUCCAUGUCAAGAUAAUAUUUUGAACAAGAUUCCAAUCAACCUUUUGAAAAUCUAACCACUAUAGACAGCUUUUAGAAUAUUCAGUUUGAAAAUUUAGAAUACUCAUUGAAAGACAUAAUAUAAUAUUUUGUAUGUUUAUAUAAUAUCUUCUUACUGAAAAUAGUGGCCACACAGCUAUGUUAUCCAAAACACCUUCUUUUCUUUAAGAACAGGGGAACGAUUGUUUCUUUUUCUAUUUUAUUAAUAUGAUAUUUUUAUAGUCAAUACGGAGACUUGUUUUCUCUUAGCUUUGCCUUAUUAAAAUAACAAUUGAAGAUUCCGUAACUAUGGUUGGGGGCAGAUAUUACUUCCAUGCGAGUUUAUAUUUUGGCCCCUGUUCGCUGGUCUUCCUCUCGAGUCAGCGGCCGGAAUGUGUGGUUCAGAGCAACCAGAGAACAGAAUAUCUACACACGAUUGAUUGGAAUUUGGAAACUGCAAACCAGUAGCGCAAUGGCUCCUGCCAAGGAUCGCCUCCACAACCUUCUGGUCCUGCUCUUGUUCAUAGGUUGCCUCUUCGUAGAUGCUGCCGCCAAGCUUAACACCACAGCGCCUUGCCUCCCGGAUCAAGCUUCUUCCCUCCUCCGGCUAAAAGCUUCCUUCAUCGGUGACAACCUACCAUCAUGGCAAGCUGCAACAGAUUGUUGCCACUGGGAGGGCGUCACCUGCGACAUGGCCUUUGGAAGAGUCAUUUCUCUUGACCUCAGUGAGUUCCAACUAAUGAGCAGGCGUCUUGAUCCUGCGCUCUUCAACCUCACCUCUCUCAGGUACCUCAGCCUUGCAUUUGUUGACUUCAGUGGAGUCUCGCUCCCGGCAUCUGGGUUUGAGCGGCUCACAGAUAUCAUUAACCUCGACCUCUCUUAUACCCGUUUUACGGGUAAGAUCCCAAUUGGAAUUGCGUGCCUCAAGAACCUUGUGAUCAUUCACUUGCUUGAUAAUUACGAAUUGUAUUUUGAACGGCCAAGUUUCCAAACCAUCAUGGCAAAUAUGAGCAAUCUGAGGGAGCUUUAUCUUGAUGGAGUGGAUUUACAUAACAUCGGAUCGGAUUGGUCCACUGUUUUAGCAGACUCCGUUCCCCAGCUACAGAUUCUUAGCUUGUCCGGGUGUCGUAUAUCAGGUUCUAUCCACCCUUCAUUCUCAAGUUUGAGGACGCUUGAUUUGUCCUGGAACCCCAUGCUUUCUGUGAGAUUAACAUAUUUCCCAGCUGGAAACAAUUUGGAAGUACUAAAUCUAGAAGGGACCAAUUUCUCUUAUGACACCCCAUCCUCGUUUGCCAAUCUUGAGUCUUUAAAGACAUUGAGGCUUAGCACGAUGGGAAUUGAUAAUGAACUCGCCUCUUUGAUAUCUGAGCUUCCAGCAUUGGAUGACCUGCGACUCAUUGGAUCAAAUUUGGAGAAACCGGUAUUAUCUUGGGUCAGCAAUCUUACCCAAUUGACAGUCCUGCGGCUUUAUGGUUAUGACUUCUCUAAAUCGGUUCCCACUUGGAUCGGCAAAUUGACAAGGCUGGAAAGUUUGAUGAUAUGGUAUUGCAGUUUCUCCGUGCCAAUACCAUACCAGAUUAGAAAUCUUACUAAAUUGGCAGCGCUGGACUUCUCAAGAUGCGACUUCGAGCAAAGAAUGCCAUCAUGGAUAGGCAAUCUUACAGAGUUGACUUCUUUGACCAUUGAUGAUUGCAGUUUAUCUGGGCCAAUACCCUCAACAAUUGGGAACCUGAUCCAACUUGAAUACUUGGAGUUCUGCGAUACUAACAUCAGCGGUGAGACUAUGUCCCAGUUACUUUCUUGAAUACCUCCUUUUAUUUUGCAACUGUAGACAGAUCAUACACCUACUGUAUGACACGCCAUGCAUACACCGUUAAAAAAAUAAUAAUGAAUUUAAGUGAAGAAGAAAAUUUAACACUACCAAAUCAACAGAGUGACCUUCAGAAAACAAGAAAAAGGCUUUGGCUAGUAAUUUUCGGCAAUGUUGAGAAAAGAAAAACCCUGAUAUUUUCACUUUGAGUCUAUGACCAAAUUUCCAUAGUUUAGUAGUUUGGAAGGUUAGAUGCCUUUAACACUAGUACACACGAGUCACGACUCAGGUCUUCUUUUCCUUCUUUUUUUCUCUCUUGACAUGAUACAUUCAGAUACCAUAAUACAGUAUUGGUCCAUUUACAAAUAUACCAAGGAAUAUUAAUUUUUUGGGACAGGCCUUUUUAUUAUUUUGACCAGAUUCACAUGUGACUGUUCUCCAACGAGAAAUCAACUUUAGUAUAUAUCAUUUGUAGAUCGAAACACUGGAUCUGUAAAAUAUAUAUCAACUUUCUCCGGUCUAAGGCCUAUUUGAAAAACCUGAGCGUGGUCUCUCUCUCCCUCUCUCCCUCUCUUUCUCAAACCUGAGCGUGAUCUGGAUUUUCUAGUACUUGUUAUGAUUUGUGAAGGAAGAGGACCCUUUCUUGUGGAAUUGGAAUUGGAUGGUGCAUUCCCAAAUUCUAAAAUCCAAACGGUACUUUCCUUUCCUCCAGAACGCAGUUACUUUAGUGUCCUUGCCCCGUUAGUGCCAUCACUUUUUUAGGCUAGUCUCAAUGCACAAUUUCAUUGCACUGUUACCAAAACUACAAACUUGUUAAUUGUGCCUGUUGGGUUUCAUAAGGAUGAAAUUCCUCUCUCAUUUCAUGUAACUCCAUCCUCUCUCUCCUCAUAAAGACCUUGCCAAAUCAACAAAAUUGCUAAUGUGGUGUAGAAAUUAAUGCUGAUAAAACUUUUUAUAAAACUCCCACUGAGACUGGCCUUAGAUUGCAGCAACAUUCAGAUAUGUUUAGCUCCAAUGUAAUGAGAUGCUAAUUUGGUUCAAUUUCAUACUGGUGCUUUCAGUGUGAAAAAGCAUUAAUAAAGUCUGCAACAUUCUGACUUUUAGUCUGCAACAUUCUGAAUGUUGGUAUUCUACCCUAACAUGCAGGAAAAAUUCCGAAGUCUUUGUUCGCUCUUCCAGUCCUGCAGUGUCUUCGUCUAGCUGAGAAUCAGCUUGUUGGCUCACUAGAAGACAUUCCUGCUCCUUUAUCAUCACCAUUGUGGGAGAUCGAUUUACAAGGUAAUCAAUUGACAGGUCCAAUACCAAAAUCACUUUUUCAGCUCACGAAUCUUGAGUAUCUCAAUCUUGGCUCGAAUAAAUUGAUAGGCACAAUAGAACUCGGCUCUAUAUGGAGGUUGAAAAAUCUCACUUAUCUCGACCUGGGUAACAAUAUGAUAUCACUUGUAGAAAAAGAAGGUGAUACGAUAUUCUCUUAUUCCCUUAAAAUCCAGACCUUAUACCUUGCAUCUUGCAACCUUACAAAAUUUCCGGAACCAUUAAAAUAUCUUGACACUAUUCAAUAUCUCGACCUUUCUAAAAACCAAAUCGAAGGGGCCAUACCAAGUUGGGUGUGGGAGAAACCACUGCGUCAGUUGAAC
rnacentral:lncRNA from 1 species